ACACGCAUGACACACUGCAUAUCAAUAAGCGGAGGAAAAGAAACUAACAAGGAUUCCCUUAGUAACGGCGAGUGAAGCGGGAAGAGCUCAAAUUUGAAAUCUUCAAGGUUCUACCUUGACGAAUUGUAGUUUAUAGAAGUGUUUUCUGUUAGUAGAGUGGCAAAAGUUCUUUGGAAUAGGACAUCAUAGAGGGUGAGAAUCCCGUAUUUGGUCAUUCUUUCUAGCUUUGUGAUACACUUUCAACGAGUCGGAUUGUUUGGGAAUGCAGUCCAAAAUGGGUGGUAAAUUUCAUCUAAAGCUAAAUAUUGGCGAGAGACCGAUAGCGAACAAGUACCGUGAGGGAAAGAUGAAAAGAACUUUGAAAAGAGAGUUAAACAGUACGUGAAAUUGUCAAAAGGGAAGCGUUUGACACCAGUGUUGUUUUUCCGAAAAUCAAUUACGAAUGUUUUAUUUUUGAGAAGUUAUGACUUCAUCGGCUUGCUUCUCUCUUUAUGAAACUUUCUUAAUGCACUUUUCGGUUAACAAGUCAACAUCAAUUUCUUUUGUUGUAAAAGGGUAUGAGGAAGGUGGCUUACUCUUUCGGCGUAAAGUGUUUAUAGCCUUUUACCUCUGCAAUCGGAGAGAUUGAGGUCUGCAGCGUAGACUCUUCGGGGUUAGAUACACUUGUGCUAAGCUAUAGCCUUUUCAUAGACAACUUGUUGACUAUGCUCAGUCUUGUAGCUUACUCGCUUAUGCUAUUUUACCUACGCUUAGGAUGUUGACGCAUGAGAUAUACGC
rnacentral:rRNA from 1 species